UGCGGCGCCGGCCGCUCAGCCCGCUGGGAAAGAUAGUUCCGGGUGGCCUGGCACGCGCAAGCGCUCCGCGGAGUCCCCACCGCCAGGACGCAGAGCCGACUGAGCUCUCGGGCUCUGACGAAAGGGGGUUGGGAAGCGGACUCCGGCGAAGAGCAGUCAGGAACUGCUGGACGGGGCCGAGAGACGACGCAGCGGGGUCUGAGGGGGCCGGGGUCACAGGGAGAGGCAAAUGAGGGCAGAAGCACUCUUCAGACCGAGACGGGGCUGAGGAGUGAGCCAAAAAGGGGCGUGAACUUGGAGUAUUGGCAUGAAAAAAAGGUGGGGCCCAGAUGGGGAGCACCUCCUCUUCCUCCUGCUCAAUCGCGAUCGUCCGGCUUCCCAGGCGGAAAAAGCGUUUCGCGGGCUUUCCAACUGCCCGCUAAUUCCGCUCCCCCUCCCUCCAGCCGUGACUCCGCGCUUUUUGGCCCGCCCGCCGGGCUGUGCGCAGGCGCUUCGGGUAGGGGCGGGGCGCGCGGCAGGGACGUUACAAAGCGAGGCGCGGUGGGCCAAUCAGAAGAUUUCAUUUCCGGGUGGCGCGGGCGCCAUUUUGUGAGGAGCGAUAUAAACGGGCGCAGAGGCUGGCUGCCCGCCCAGUUGCUACUCAGGUGCGCUCGCCUGCGGAGCUCGUCUGUGCUCUACUCCGCCAAGGCCUUCCCCAGUGUACCCACGCGGAAGGCAACUGCCUAAGAGGCGCGGCGUCGCACCGCCCGGAGCUGAGGAAGCCGGCGCCAGUUCGCGGGGCUCCGGGCCGCCACUCAGAGCCAUGAGCUACGGCCGCCCCCCUCCCGAUGUGGAGGGUAUGACCUCCCUCAAGGUGGACAACCUGACCUACCGCACCUCGCCCGACACGCUGAGGCGCGUCUUCGAGAAGUACGGGCGCGUCGGCGACGUGUACAUCCCGCGGGACCGCUACACCAAGGAGUCCCGCGGCUUCGCCUUCGUUCGCUUCCACGACAAGCGCGACGCCGAGGACGCUAUGGAUGCCAUGGACGGGGCCGUGCUGGACGGCCGCGAGCUGCGGGUGCAAAUGGCGCGCUACGGCCGCCCCCCGGACUCACACCACAGCCGCCGGGGACCGCCACCCCGCAGGUACGGGGGCGGUGGCUACGGACGCCGGAGCCGCAGCCCUAGGCGGCGUCGCCGCAGCCGAUCCCGGAGUCGGAGCCGUUCCAGGUCUCGCAGCCGAUCUCGCUACAGCCGCUCCAAGUCUCGGUCCCGCACUCGCUCUCGCUCUCGGUCGACCUCCAAGUCCAGAUCCGCGCGAAGGUCCAAGUCCAAGUCCUCGUCGGUGUCCAGAUCUCGCUCGCGGUCCAGGUCCCGAUCUCGGUCCAGGAGUCCUCCUCCGGUGUCCAAGAGGGAAUCCAAAUCCAGGUCGCGAUCGAAGAGUCCCCCCAAGUCUCCCGAAGAGGAAGGAGCGGUGUCCUCUUAAGAAAAUGCUGCGGUCUCCUGUUUGAUAAAAGAAUAUUGGCCAGUAUUGCAGAUUUUAACUGAUUUGGCUGAUCCUCCAGGGACCAGUUUCUGUGGGCGUGUAUUGGAGCAGAUGUAUCGGCAAGCAGUGUAAACGGAGGACUUGGGGAAAAAGGACCACAUACUCAGUCCAUCGAAGAAGAGUCCUUGGAACAAGCAACUGGCUAUUGAAAAGGUUAUUUUGUAACAUUUGUCUAACUUUUUACUUGUUUAAGCUUUGCCUCAGUUGGCAAACUUCAUUUUAUGUGCCAUUUUGUUGCUGUUAUUCAAAUUUCUUGUAAUUUAGUGAGGUGAACGACUUCAGAUUUCAUUAUUGGAUUUGGAUAUUUGAGGUAAAAUUUCAUUUUGUUAUAUAGUGCUGACUUUUUUUGUUUGAAAUUAAACAGAUGGGUAACCUAAUUUGUGGCCUCCUGACUUUUAAGGAAAACGUGUGCAGCCAUUACACACAGCCUAAAGCUGUCAAGAGAUUGACUCAGCAUUGCCUUCAUUCCUUAAAAUUAAAAACCUACAAAAGUUGGUGUAAAUUUGUAUAUGUUAUUUACCUUCAGAUCUAAAUGGUAAUCUGAACCCAAAUUUGUAUAAAGACUUUUCAGGUGAAAAGACUUGAUUUUUUGAAAGGAUUGUUUAUCAAACACAAUUCUAAUCUCUUCUCUUAUGUAUUUUUGUGCACUAGGCGCAGUUGUGUAGCAGUUGAGUAAUGCUGGUUAGCUGUUAAGGUGGCGUGUUGCAGUGCAGAGUGCUUGGCUGUUUCCUGUUUUCUCCCGAUUGCUCCUGUGUAAAGAUGCCUUGUCGUGCAGAAACAAAUGGCUGUCCAGUUUAUUAAAAUGCCUGACAACUGCACUUCCAGUCACCCGGGCCUUGCAUAUAAAUAACGGAGCAUACAGUGAGCACAUCUAGCUGAUGAUAAAUACACCUUUUUUUCCCUCUUCCCCCUAAAAAUGGUAAAUCUGAUCAUAUCUACAUGUAAGAACUUAACAUGGAAAAUGUUAAGAAAGCAAAUGGUUGUAACUUUGUAAGUACUUAUAACAUGGUGUAUCUUUUUGCUUAUGAAUAUUCUGUAUUAUAACCAUUGUUUCUGUAGUUUAAUUAAAACAUUUUCUUGGUGUUA